rnacentral:misc_RNA from 1 species
GUUACUGGAAAUGUCUCGAUGGAUAAUUGGAGGAGAGCAGUCAUGGUGCAUGUACGACAAAGCAUUUGCUAUUCCUUCAACAAUGUUUAGUCUCUUACUCCAAUCCAACUCCACUCUUUCUUCUUCGUUGCUUAAAAUUUUUCUCAAACUUUCCCUUUCUAUGAAUUCGUAUAUCAAAAAUGAGUGUCUGACAUGCGAACAAAACCCAUAUAACUUCACAAUGUUCCGAUGACGUAUGUUUGUCAACACAGAAAUCUCACUAGUAAAUGCUUUCAGAUCAGCCACCUCACCAUUUGGUGAUUGAUGAAUUUUCUUCACAGCAACCACUUGACCAUUUGGCAGCUCAGCUUUGUAGACAAUUCCAUAACCUCCUACCCCAAUGCAAUACUUGGAAUUGAACUCCUCUGUAGCCUCAAUAAUGUUUUCAUAUUGCAUAUUUCUAUCAAUAUGGCUCCAUAUUGCAUACAUAUCUUCGCAAUGUUUCCCCUCAGUUGACUUGGCUUUUCCGUUUCUGUGAUGGAUGAAGAAGAAACAUCCAACCAAGAUAAACAAUAGAAGCAGACUACCCACGAGAGGAAAAACAAUUAGAUGAUUGACAGCCUUUUUGCCCUUUUUUCCUAUGGUUUUGUUCACUGCGAGAGAACCGCAAGGCUUU